UAAGCCGGUGGUUCUCGUGCCUCUCCUCCUCUCCUCCUCCUCUCCUCACCCUUAACCCUGCUCACCUCUCAGCUGGACAGCCAGAGACCUUCCCGCUCCACACUGACAACAUGCUGGGGACUCUCUGCUCUCUCCUGGUUGCUCUCACAUGUGUGAGCGCUGUGACUGUGGUGACACAGCAGCCUUCUGUUGUGACGCUGACCAGAGGAGAGACGGCAACCAUCGACUGUAACCAGGGGAGUGUUACUGGUUCUGCUGUUCGCUGGUAUAAACAGAUACCUGGAGGAGUUCCUCAUUGGAGACAAGUAAACGUUGGACUUCUGUGGAUCUUUCACCUACCAAAGGAACUGGAUGGUUUGUUCAUUCAAAGAUGAACAAACUGACCGAUCGAUCUUUUUUGUAUUUACUGGAAAUGGCAUUUUAAUUGACCAUGUGGCAAUGACAAAUUCUUACUUGGACUUCACUGGAUUAAAACGGUUUCUACCUGUUAUUCCUGGGAAAGGCAUCACAUAGAGGGUGGCUCCACUGCCUUCAACAAGUCAGGAGGUUUUUGUACGGCCAUGAAUACAAACUGAAUCACUGUGGUAUUCGGCGGAGGCACAAAGGUGAUCGUUACUGGCUCCAGCCUCCCUCCUCCUGUCCUGACAUUCUACCGUCCUUCCACCAAUCCGCUCUCGUCCAGCCAUGCCGCUCUGGUCUGUCUGG